rnacentral:rRNA from 1 species
UACGGGGGGAGCAAGCGUUGUUCGGAUUUACUGGGCGUAAAGGGCGCGUAGGCGGCCACCGCAAGUCGGUUGUGAAAUCUCUGGGCUUAACCCAGAAAGGUCAACCGAUACUGCGGGGCUAGAGUGCAGAAGGGGCAACUGGAAUUCUUGGUGUAGCGGUGAAAUGCGUAGAUAUCAAGAGGAACACCGGAGGUGAAGACGGGUUGCUGGGCUGACACUGACGCUGAGGCGCGAAAGCUAGGGUAGCAAACGGG